UUAACCAUACGUAGAAAACGACGUAACUCAUGGAAGUCCUGAGGCCGAGGUAGUUGCAUAAUGAGCUCAGGACAGUCAAGAGGAAUGCCUGGUUGCUCCACUGUUGGGUGCAAAAACCAAAGUGAAGAUGGAUAUAUGAUGCUUGUUUUCCCAAGAAAUGAAGAAAGACGUAAACAGUGGGCAGUGAAAGUCAACCAAGAAGGCAGGAAUCAUAAAGGCGACUUAUGGAAACCAACAAAUUAUUCCUUUCUGUGUGAAAUAUCCUCCACGUCCUACAUCCAUGCGAAUGCCUCACAGUAUUGGAUUUAUUGGAUAUAAAUAAAUAAAUACUGUGCAGGAAUUGGGUUUCCUGUGCAAUGUCAACAUGAACAGUCUCAAAUCUGUUUUAAGUGCUAACAGAAAAGGAAAUAACCAGGAAAAGGUACCCACAAUGGAACUAAGGCCUCACAGACAAGAUCCAUUGACUUAGAAAGUGACAAAAUCAAAAAACAUGACUACAAGUGAAUAUUUAACAAAUAAUUGAAUAUUAAGUGUAUGUUGUUCGUGAGUGCAAUGUGAGGAUGUCUGAUUGUUAGCCCAGAAGUCCAUUUGUCAAUUGAUGUAUGUCUUAGGGAUCAUGUUCAUUUGACCAAAAAAAUAAAGAAAGCUCAAAAACUCUCACUUACACAAAAAUGCAGACCAGUG